ACAGACUAAUUGUUGUUAUUGCUGAGACAUGAUACUGCUGCAUCAGCUGUUGACCUUGAUUCUGUUUUUGAUACUCUAAAUGUUGCUGCGUUUGAAACGUAUUCAGUGAGUCUAGAACCCAUUCUAUGUUAAGCGGCACAACAGUGACUAACUUUUUUGGUGUUGAACUAUUGGCUGUGGUCAUAGACGUUGAGGGUUGUUGGAGAAAUGAACGGCUGCUGCUGCCGUAGCAGUGCCGGAAGAUGUGAUAUGACAAGAUGUGGAAAUUAAGGUUACAAAAUUGUCCAUGUGGAGCGAUUGGUUAACCGGACAAGCAACUUGUUUCCCAGGCUUGUCUUUGUUGAUAUAUUCCCGAUUGUAGUUUUUAAGUUGUGGCAGUUGGACUGGCAAAAAUUUUCACACUAUUGCAGCGGAAAGGAUAACAGCGUAUGCACAUCGCGUCAGCGCAGAAAUAUUUGGAAAGAUUUGUUGCUUCUUUGAUCUUGCGCUUUUCGUUGAUAGAUAUUUGAAGUUCGUCGUUGUGUUUUUAGUCCAGGUUUAAUGCAGGAUCGCCAAUAUAUGUAUCAUGAUGAAAUUUUAUUAUUCAAAAUUUUGAAUUAUUUAUUAGAACAUUUUAUGUUUGUAAUUUGAAGACUUUUAUUUUAAUGAUUUUAAAAACUUAGAAAUUCUAAUAAAAUCUAAGAACACCAGAACAAAUAAAAAUUCUACAGGUAUAAAAGAACAAGGUAUUUAUACCCUACAAUCAUCUCGAUCAAUUAGCCCAUCGACUUUGCUCCCGCGGACCACCGAACCUAUAUCAACUUCAACAAAGCUGAUUGGAACGGCUUCGCGGAAGUUACCGAGAACAGAGUCGCCGCCCCUCCCACACCCACAGACAUACACGCUGGCAAAUGCCAAUUCCGCAGGGAAGUCUGCCGCAGCGGCUCGCUUCAUACCAUCCGAGCGCAUCGCGGAAGUCCGCCUAAAUAUCCCAAGCUAAUGAGCUUGGAGACCUAUAACUUCGCCUCUGGUAUGAGUAAGUUUGGUCAACUGUGAGGUCCCUGCACAACCCGACGAGGCGAGAUGACAGUGUGGAAAUUUCGUUCUAUUAUCGCCCCUCGUCGGCCCCGAGCUAUUUUAGCCGGUAGUUCACAUUGCAUCCGUCGGUAGAAAGAGCCAAACGUCGAGUGACCAGGUGGCUGCGCAAACUGCCCAAAAGCAGUGCACUACUUACUUUCAGCAGCGGCGAAGUAAAGGUGGCCAUCGAGAAGCGAAAGCCUCCAAAGCCAUUGGACCCGACGGAAUUUGCAUGCUGAUGCUAAAGCAUUUGGGGCCCGCGAGAGUAGCAUAUGUCACAGAGAUCCUUAACCUGUCAAUGG